rnacentral:rRNA from 1 species
AUUGAACGCUGGCGGCAUGCCUUACACAUGCAAGUCGAACGGCAGCACGGGAGCAAUCCUGGUGGCGAGUGGCGAACGGGUGAGUAAUAUAUCGGAACGUGCCCAGUCGUGGGGGAUAACGUAGCGAAAGCUACGCUAAUACCGCAUACGAUCUAUGGAUGAAAGCGGGGGAUCGCAAGACCUCGCGCGAUUGGAGCGGCCGAUAUCAGAUUAGGUAGUUGGUGGGGUAAAGGCUCACCAAGCCAACGAUCUGUAGCUGGUCUGAGAGGACGACCAGCCACACUGGAACUGAGACACGGUCCAGACUCCUACGGGAGGCAGCAGUGGGGAAUUUUGGACAAUGGACGCAAGUCUGAUCCAGCCAUUCCGCGUGCAGGAUGAAGGCCCUCGGGUUGUAAACUGCUUUUGUACGGAACGAAAAGGUUUCUAUUAAUACUAGGAGCUCAUGACGGUACCGUAAGAAUAAGCACCGGCUAACUACGUG